rnacentral:rRNA from 1 species
GACGAACGCUGGCGGCGUGCUUAACACAUGCAAGUCGAACGGAAAGGCCCUGCUUUUGUGGGGUGCUCGAGUGGCGAACGGGUGAGUAACACGUGUGUAACCUGCCCUUGACUUUGGGAUAACUUCAGGAAACUGGGGCUAAUACCGGAUAGGAUCUCCUGCUGCUUGGUGGGGGUUGGAUAGUUUCGGCGGUUGGGUAUGUACUCGCGGCUUAUCAGCUUGUUGGUUGGGUAGUGGCUUACCAAGGCUUUGACGGGUAGCUGGCAUGAGAGGGUGACCAGCCACAAUGGGACUGAGAUACGGCCCAGACGCCAACGGGAGGCAGCAGUGGGGAAUAUUACACAAUGGGAGGAAGCGUGAUGAAGAAACGCCGCGUGCGGGAAGACGGCCUUCGGGUUGUAAAAAGCAUUAGGCUGUGACGAAGCGUGAGUGACGGUAAUGGGUAAAGAAGCACCGGCUAACUACGUG